rnacentral:rRNA from 1 species
GAGUUUGAUCAUGGCUCAGGGUGAACGCUGGCGGCGUGCUUAAGACAUGCAAGUCGAACGGUCCCUUCGGGGAUAGUGGCGCACGGGUGAGUAACGCGUAACUGACCUACCCCAAGUCGCGGAUAACGAUUCGAAAGAAUCGCUAAUACGUGAUGUGCUGUCAGAUUGUGUUCUGCCAGUAAAGAUUUAUUGCUUUGGGAUGGGGUUGCGUUCCAUCAGCUAGUUGGUGGGGUAAAGGCCUACCAAGGCGACGACGGAUAGCCGGCCUGAGAGGGUGGCCGGCCACAGGGGCACUGAGACACGGGUCCCACUCCUACGGGAGGCAGCAGUUA